rnacentral:tRNA from 1 species
GCGAGAGUGGCGGAAUUGGCAGACGCACCAGACUUAGGAUCUGGCGCCAUUGGCGUGAGGGUUCGACUCCCUCCUUUCGCA